rnacentral:rRNA from 1 species
UACGUAGGGGGCAAGCGUUGUCCGGAAUUAUUGGGCGUAAAGGGCGCGUAGGCGGCUUGGCAAGUGGAUGGUGAAAUCCCUCGGCUUAACCAAGGAACUGCCGUCCAAACUGCUUCGCUUGAGACCGGGAGGAGGUGAGUGGAAUUCCCAGUGUAGCGGUGAAAUGCGUAGAUAUUGGGAGGAACACCAGUGGCGAAGGCGGCUCACUAGACCGGUACUGACGCUGAUGCGCGAAAGCGUGAGGAGCAAACGGG